CCUACGGGAGGCAGCAGUGAGGAAUAUUGGUCAAUGGACGAGAGUCUGAACCAGCCAAGUAGCGUGAAGGAUGACUGCCCUAUGGGUUGUAAACUUCUUUUGUAAGGGAAUAAAAGGAGGCACGAGUGCCUGUUUGCAUGUACUUUAUGAAUAAGGCUCGGCUAACUCCGUGCCAGCCGCCGCGGUAAUACGGAGGGUCCGGGCGUUAUCCGGAUUUAUUGGGUUUAAAGGGAGCGUAGGUGGGGUGUUAAGUCAGUUGGGAAAGUUUGGGGCUCAAACGUCAAAUUGCCAUUGAUACUGGCAGUCUUGAGUACAGUUGAGGUAGGCGGAAUGCGUGGUGUAGCGGUGAAAUGCUUAGAUAUCACGAAGAACCCCGAUUGCGAAGGCAGCUUACUGAACUGUGACUGACAUUGAUGCUCGAAAGUGUGGGUAUCAAACAGGAUUAGAUACCCCAGUAGUC
rnacentral:rRNA from 1 species